AGUGAACGCUGGCGGUAGGCCUAACACAUGCAAGUCGAACGGCAGCACAGUAAGAGCUUGCUCUUACGGGUGGCGAGUGGCGGACGGGUGAGGAAUACAUCGGAAUCUACUUUUUCGUGGGGGAUAACGUAGGGAAACUUACGCUAAUACCGCAUACGACCUACGGGUGAAAGCAGGGGAUCUUCGGACCUUGCGCGAUUGAAUGAGCCGAUGUCGGAUUAGCUAGUUGGCGGGGUAAAGGCCCACCAGGGCGACGAUCCGUAGCUGGUCUGAGAGGAUGAUCAGCCGCACUGGAACUGAGACACGGUCCAGACUCCUACGGGAGGCAGCAGUGGGGAAUAUUGGACAAUGGGCGCAAGCCUGAUCCAGCCAUACCGCGUGGGUGAAGAAGGCCUUCGGGUUGUAAAGCCCUUUUGUUGGGAAAGAAAAGCAGCAGGUUAAUACCCCGCUGUUCUGACGGUACCCAAAGAAUAAGCACCGGCUAACUUCGUG
rnacentral:rRNA from 1 species